rnacentral:rRNA from 1 species
GUCCUUUUGGUUUUUAUUUAAGGUCUGACCUGCCCACUGAUUUAUUUAAUGGCCGCGGUAUUUUGACCGUGCAAAGGUAGCAUAAUAAUUUGUCUUUUAAUUGAAGGCUUGUAUGAAUGGUUGGACGAGAAAAUUACUUUCUUUAUAAUAAAUUAUUAAUUUUAUUUUUUAGUUAAAAAGCUAAAAUUUUGUUGUAGGACGAGAAGACCCUAUAGAACUUUAUAUUUAUUUUUAUAUUAAUAUCUUUGGUUGAUAAUAUAUUGUAUUUUUAUAUAUAUUUUGUUGGGGCGACAAGAAAAUUUAUUUAACUUUUUUUUAUUAAUUUCAUUAAUUAGUGUAUAAAUGAUCCUUUAUUAUGGAUAGUUAGAAUAAGUUACCUUAGGGAUAACAGCGUAAUUUUUUUGGAGAGUUCUUAUCGAUAAAAAAGUUUGCGA